UUUCUGUGUAUGUGUCUUUAAUUCCUCUAGCACCGCUGGGUUAGGGUCUCCACAACCGAGCUGGUCUCGGCAAGUGGCACCCAUACGUGGGGGCUCGAACCCAGGUCGAAGAGUCACUGGAGCGACGGUUGGAGAACGUGGAACUAAGCUGGAGGACACCCGAGUACUCUUAAGCAAUCCCCAUGGACUGACUCAACAGCCGAUUUGGAUACCAUCAAGACACCUGAAACCUUAUCAUGAGCCAGAUGCUGAGGAAGAGAUUCCGGGAGGAAACUGAGGACCCCCCCCACCCCCGGUUGCAGCCAUGUCGAGACUGACGCUGAGGAAGACCCCAACUGUCACGAGCAACACCUGUCAAACACAGCCACCCACCUGGAGACAGAUCAAGAAGCUGUCACAGAUGGUGGAAGAAAACCUGAGGAAAGUGGGACAACCAGUCGCAAUGAGUAAUUUAAUGGUAGCUAUGAUAGCGAUGAUCACCACUGCCAUGAGUAUUCCUUCAAUAAGGGCUGACACAGAGGACAAUUAUACUUAUUGGGCAUAUUUAUCAAUCUUGGCUGGCAAUAAUGCCUGGAUGUAAUCACUCUAUGACACAGUUAUACAAGCUUUCUGAUCUCAUAAUAAAUCUGCUCCUAUAAUUGAGGCAUACUGCCCUCAAAAACAUAUUUGUAAACAGGAUUGGACCCAGUUAGCAAAAAUGAACGUACUUGUUUAGGAAGAUUGCUUUGCAGAACAGGCAGAGGUGCUGCACAACAAUUCCUAUGGAAUCAUUAUUAAUUGGUCACCUAUGGGGAUGUUUAGCUUGAACUGCACCUCUCAGUCUGCAUGCCAUGGCCACACUGUGAUCAGCUCAUCUGAACAAAAUGGUCAGAUGAUAGAAAUGGUAAGAAAUACAGCAAGAGUUCCUAUUAUCUGGAACCAUGGCAGUAUAGUGGCACCUCAGCCUCAAAUGAUAUGGCCUGCUCUAGGAGCUAAACAUAAGCAUUUGUGGAAACUGUUAAUAGCUCUUAAUAAAAUCAAAAUUUGGGAAAGAAUAAAAAAGCAUCUAGAAGGCCACUCUACAAACUUGUAUUUGGAUAUUGCAAAAUUGAAAGAACAAAUAUUUAAAGUAUCCCAGGCACACGUGAACUUAAUGCCAGGAACUGGAGUGCUUGAAGGAGCUGCAGACAGAUUAGCAGCUAGUAACCCAUUCAAAUGGAUAAAAACACUUGGAGGCUCUGUGAUUUCAAUGAUGAUUGUGCUUUUACUCUGUGUUGUUUGUCUUUGUAUAGUGUGCAGAUGCGGAUCCUGACUCCUGUGAGAAGUAGCUCACCGUGACAAAGCUGCCUUUGCUUUUAUCACUUUGCAAAACAAAAAAGGGGACAUGUUGGGAACAGGCCCCUGAAUCUGGCCAUAAACUGGCCCCAAAACUGGCCAUAAACAAAAUCUCUGCAGCACUGUGACAUGUUCAUGAUGGCCAUGACCCCCACCCUGAAGGUCGUGGGUUUACUGGAAUGAGGGCAAGGAACACCUGGCUCACCCAGGAUGGAAAACGGCUUAAAGGGGUUCCUGUACCACAAACAAUAGCAUGAGCGAUCUGUGCCUUAAGGACAUGUUCCUGCUGCAGAUAACUAGCCAGAGCCCAUCCGUUUAUUUUGGCACAUCCCUUUAUUUCCCAUAAGAAAUGCUUUUAGUUAAUCUAUAAUCUAUAGAAAUAAUGCUUAUCACUGGCUUGCUGUCAAUAAAUAUGUGUGUAAAUCUCUGUUCGAGGCUCUCAGCUCUGAAGGCUGUGAGACCCCUGAUUUCCCACUCCACACCCUGUAUUUCUGGGUGUGUGUCUUUAAUUCCUCUAGCGCCACUGGGUUAGGGUCUCCACGACCCAGCUGGUCUCGGCACUCUGGGAUCCUGCCACGGGGCUGUGUAACCAGCCAUCUCUGUGCAACAUGCCCAGCACUGCCUGUCAGCAUCUCCUGUUCAGGUCAGGCUAGCACCUCUCUCAUCAGAAUUCCAGAAUUCCAUCAGAGGCCAAGUCCCCCACCCCCACCUCCUGCCCUUGCUUUGGGGGCAACUUCCUGCAAGGUAACACUUCCUUUUCUCCACACUCCUGUAUACAGACUCCUGGAGCAGAGUGUGCCAUGAGGAAAAGCUCUCCCAUCCCCCCAUCUCCCUCCACUUCUCUAUUUCUCAGCUAGGCAUGGCCAACAAACUAGCUCAAUAAAACUGGUGCCAAAUAUGA